rnacentral:rRNA from 1 species
GAUGAACGCUGGCGGCGUGCCUAAUACAUGCAAGUCGAGCGAACGGACGAGAAGCUUGCUUUUCUGAUGUUAGCGGCGGACGGGUGAGUAACACGUGGAUAACCUACCUAUAAGACUGGGAUAACUUCGGGAAACCGGAGCUAAUACCGGAUAAUAUUUUGAACCGCAUGGUUCAAAAGUGAAAGACGGUCUUGCUGUCACUUAUAGAUGGAUCCGCGCUGCAUUAGCUAGUUGGUAAGGUAACGGCUUACCAAGGCAACGAUGCAUAGCCGACCUGAGAGGGUGAUCGGCCACACUGGAACUGAGACACGGUCCAGACUCCUACGGGAGGCAGCAGUAGGGAAUCUUCCGCAAUGGGCGAAAGCCUGACGGAGCAACGCCGCGUGAGUGAUGAAGGUCUUCGGAUCGUAAAACUCUGUUAUUAGGGAAGAACAUAUGUGUAAGUAACUGUGCACAUCUUAACGGUACCUAAUCAGAAAGCCACGGCUAACUACGUG